GAGUUUGAUCGUGGCUCAGAACGAACGCUGGCGGCAGGCUUAACACAUGCAAGUCGAGCGCAUCCUUCGGGGUGAGCGGCAGACGGGUGAGUAACACGUGGGAAUCUACCCAUCCCUGCGGAACAACUCCGGGAAACUGGAGCUAAUACCGCAUACGCCCUUUGGGGGAAAGAUUUAUCGGGGAUGGAUGAGCCCGCGUUGGAUUAGCUAGUUGGUGGGGUAAAGGCCUACCAAGGCGACGAUCCAUAGCUGGUCUGAGAGGAUGAUCAGCCACAUUGGGACUGAGACACGGCCCAAACUCCUACGGGAGGCAGCAGUGGGGAAUAUUGGACAAUGGGCGCAAGCCUGAUCCAGCCAUGCCGCGUGAGUGAUGAAGGCCUUAGGGUUGUAAAGCUCUUUCACCGGUGAAGAUAAUGACGGUAACCGGAGAAGAAGCCCCGGCUAACUUCGUGCCAGCAGCCGCCACAGUAAC
rnacentral:rRNA from 1 species